rnacentral:tRNA from 1 species
GUCAAUUGUGGUGUAGUGGUUUGAGCACUGGACUACAGUUCUGGAGACCAGGGUUUGAUUCCCUGCUCGGCC